rnacentral:rRNA from 1 species
UACGAAGGGGGCGAGCGUUGUUCGGAUUUACUGGGCGUAAAGGGCGCGCAGGCGGCUUUGUUUGUCAGGCGUGAAAGCCCCGGGCUUAACCUGGGAACUGCGUUUGAUACGGCAGGGCUAGAGUUCGGGAGAGGAGAGUGGAAUUCCCAGUGUAGAGGUGAAAUUCGUAGAUAUUGGGAAGAACACCGGUGGCGAAGGCGGCUCUCUGGACCGAGACUGACGCUGAGGAGCGAAAGCGUGGGGAGCGAACAGG